UACGUAGGUGGCAAGCGUUGUCCGGAUUUACUGGGCGUAAAGAGCGCGCAGGCGGUCGUCCAAGUCGCGUGUGAAAGCCCCCGGCUCAACUGGGGAGGGUCACGCGAUACUGGUCGACUCGAAGGCAGGAGAGGGUAGUGGAAUUCCCGGUGUAGUGGUGAAAUGACGUAGAUAUCGGAGGAACACCAGUGGCGAAGGCGACUACCUGGCCUGUUCUUGACGCUGAGGCGCGAAAGCUAGGGGAGCAAACGGG
rnacentral:rRNA from 1 species